AUUUCUUGUACAGACAGGGUUUUUCUAUGUUGUCCGGGCUGGUCUUGAACUCCUGGACUCAAGUGAUCCUCCUGCCUUGGACUCCCAACGUGCUGGGAAUACAGGCGUGAGCCACCGUGCCCGGCCUGGACGCCCAGUUUUUAUAGACGCGGGUUACACUAAGGUCUUCCAACUUCCACCACGCUCUUCUGCCUGAUUUUUGGUAAACACUGGUCUCUCCACUUCUGAGAAUUUCAAUAUCCCACUGCUUCUGGCCUUUCACCUAGAUCAGUAACGUCCAGAACUCUGAAAAGAAGUAACUCAGUCUGGUGUCUGCCCAGAAAUACCAGCUACCAGAUCCACCGUGGAGUUUGGCAAAGCACCGUAAUCAACAACCUAGUUAUCUAAGACAAAGAGGCAAUGACCACACUCGCCUAAUAAUUAGGUAUACUGGAUGUCUUUCUGGCGUUGUUCCCCAAAGUCCAUUUUCUUUAUAAAACUGUCUUUGAGGAAAACGGUCUGUGCUGGCUCCCAAGUUCCAUUAAAUGUGUGCAGCUCCCAUGAGAUGAUAAUUUUGUUCCUGGCAGUGGCACGUACGGAGGAGACCUGCAGAAGGAGCUAGGGGUGACAGCAUCAGCCCCCUUCUCAGUGCCGCCUGGGGACAGAUGGCAGGCACGUAAAUACAGACCGCAUUCAGUUCAUCAUAAAGGCCUUGCCAGCCUGCGAGAUCACAGCCUGGUGGUGAAAAGAAGGCGUCCUUCUCCAGGCCCACUGCGGAAGGUGGGAAGCCCUUUCUAAAAUACCCCUGGGCAGUGGGCUAUUUCUCCAGCCUGGGACUCUGCAGCUUAGUUCCAGGAAGGAGAGGAAGGAAGAAUCCAAGAAACUAAGGGAAUUGCCCUAGUAAGGAAAACCACCGAAGGGAUCUUUUGGGUCAAGAGGUGGAAAUCUGGAACGGUCUUAUCUAAAAUGUAGGAUGUUAGGUAAAUUUAACUUUCUUAAGAGCCCGACGUAUACUGAAUGGAUCACUGCACCAAACGCUACGUUCUCGUAACUUCCCCACACUAAAAGAGGGGAGAAGAGGGAGUCAGAAGGAGGAACAGAGAAAUUAUGCCACUAUCCCUGGGACUUGGUACAUCUUAGAUACUUUCAUUCUCAUUCAACCAAUAAGUAAGAGCAAGAACGUCCAGUAACUGCCCACAGUUACCCCAAUUCUUUCCCCAUCAGUUCUUCCAAAAGGCCCCCUUUCCCAGGACUGCAUCUGUUCAAUUCCACUCAGCAUGUGUUGAACACACAGUAUGUACAAUGCCCUGAGCCAGCGAGGGGCAGGAAGGAGACCCAGAG
rnacentral:lncRNA from 1 species